rnacentral:snoRNA from 1 species
ACUGGCAAGGAUGACACACUUGCCCUCACUUAGACCAUAGUUCAUUCAUGAGAACAUCUAGUUAUUCUGAGCCAGU